rnacentral:rRNA from 1 species
AACGAACGCUGGCGGCAUGCCUAACACAUGCAAGUCGAACGAGACCUUCCGGUCUUUUGGCGCACGGGUGCUUAACGCGUGGUAACCUGCCCUUAGGUUCGGAAUAACUCCCCGUAAGGGGUGCUAAUACCGGAUAAUGUCUUCGCACCAAAGAUUUAUCGCCUUUGGAUGGGCCCGCGUUGGAUUAGCUAGUUGGUAGGGUAAAAGCCUACCAAGGCGACGAUCCAUAGCUGGUCUGAGAGGAUGAUCAGCCACACUGGGACUGAGACACGGCCCAGACUCCUACGGGACGGAGCAGUGGGGAAUAUUGGACACUGGGCGAAAGCCUGAUCCAGCAAUGCCGGGUGAGUGAGGAAGGCGUUAGGGUUGUAAAGCUGUUUUCACCGGGAUGAUAAUGACAGUACCGGGAGAAUAAGCACCGGCUAACUCCGUG